rnacentral:rRNA from 1 species
UACAGAGGGGGCAAGCGUUGUUCGGAAUUACUGGGCGUAAAGGGCGCGUAGGCGGCCCGCUAAGUCGAACGUGAAAUCCCCGGGCUCAACCCGGGAACUGCGUCCGAUACUGGUGGGCUUGAAUCCGGGAGAGGGAUGCGGAAUUCCAGGUGUAGCGGUGAAAUGCGUAGAGAUCCCAAGAACACCAGUUGCGAAGGCGGUCGUCUGGACACAUAUUGACGCUGAGGCUCGAAAGCAUGGGGAAGCAA